UUGACCAGCGCUGACAAGAUUCCAUGUCACCCUAAUCGAAAACUGGUUGACUGGGCAUGGUUCGGAAUCAGAAUCAUGUUACGAUUUUUAUGGGGAUGCCUGUCCCAUGCUAACAAGGCCUUUGGGUCUAGGUGGCCCUUGCACUCACAUGCAUGAUAUAGUGAAGAAAACUUAAAGGCAUCGAAGAGCAGAAUGGAAAUGCUUCUACUUUAACUUUCAAGUCUAAAAGAUGGUAUUGGAAAAAACAUGAAGGUAGCAGAUGACCGAGGGAAAAUGAAAUCCUGGCUGAAGCAUUCAGCAGACUAGCUGAUAAGGGAACAGCCAAUAAUUAAAGAAAUCUAUUGUAUAAAAUUUGUCAAUAAAGGUG